AUCCAGAUGACGAGUCCUAAGUAGACCGAAACGCGCGUCCUGGAU
rnacentral:hammerhead_ribozyme from 1 species